GAUGAAGAACUCAGCGAAAUGCGAUAAGUAAUGUGAAUUGCAGAAUUCAGUGAAUCAUCGAAUCUUUGAACGCACCUUGCACUCCUUGGUAUUCCGAGGAGUACGCCUGUUCGAGUGUUAUGAAGCUCUCAAAACGCAAUUGGCUUAAAACCUGAUUGUUGUUUUGGAUUUGAACUUUGCCGUGUUAUAACGGCUGGUUUUAAAAGUAUUAGCUGGUACUAGAACGAAUUGGUUCUACUCAACGUGAUAAUUAUCUGAUCGUUGAGGACAUUCCUUUCACGAGGAAUGGCCAUAGUAAAUUCAAUGGACUGCUUCUAAUCUGGCUUUAAUUCUUUAUUGGAUUAACCACUUUUCAAAUCUGACCUCGAAUCAGGUGGGACUACCCGCUGAACUUAAGCAUAUCAAUAAGCGGAGGA
rnacentral:misc_RNA from 1 species